AUUCCAGCUCCAAUAGCGUAUAUUAAAGUUGUUGCGGUUAAAAAGCUCGUAGUUGGAUUUCUGUUGAGGACGGCCGGUCCGCACUAUGUGCGUGUAUCUGGUUCGGCCUUGGCAUCCUCUUGAGGAACGUAUCUGCGCUUGAUUGCGUGGAGCGGUAUUCAAGACUUUUACUUUGAGGAAAUUAGAGUGUUCACGGCAGGCAAGCGCCUUGAAUACGUUAGCAUGGAAUGAUAAUAUAGGAUCUUGGUUCUAUUUUGUUGGUUUCUAGAGCUAAGGUAAUGAUUAAUAGGGAUAAUUGGGGGCAUUUGUAUUAACGCGUCAGAGGUGGAAUUCUUGGAUUGCGUUACGACAAACUACUGCGAAAGCAUUUGCCAAGGAUGUUUUCAUUG
rnacentral:rRNA from 1 species